UGCCAUUUACCCAGAGGCCAGAUGCCUGCCUGGGGAUCCCGAGGGUGGGGCCGAAGGAGUCCCUGAUGAUUGACAGCCUCCCACUCUUCGCAUUUUCUUAGACUUGCAAGUAAAUGGGAGCCGCCGCCUCUGGGCUGUGAGUCCCACCAGGGCAUGUGUUCAUGACAUGGCUCUUUUGUUCAUCACUGACGCACCAGUCUGGGACAGGCCCGGCUUGCAGGACUGCUCAGCGUCCCUUGCCUAGACCAGGGGUAGCCGAAGCCUGAUGGGGACAGCACGUCCCCAAAAAAGUUCCCCAGGGAGGUACAAAAGGGAGGACAAAAAGGGAGAGGAGCGCUAGCAACGUUCAUAGCAAUUGGACACAGCUUCGGCAUCCCAGCUGGGGAUCCUUGGAACAAGCUUUGAGAGCUCUGUGUGCAGAUCGUGGUUCCUGAAGGUCAGAGGAACUCCUUCCGAAUCAGCUGGUCAAGAAAGUGAUCCCUCGAAGCCACAGAACGUCAUCUUUUGAA